GACGAACGCUGGCGGCGUGCUUAACACAUGCAAGUCGAACGGAAAGGCCCUGCUUUUGUGGGGUGCUCGAGUGGCGAACGGGUGAGUAACACGUGAGUAACCUGCCCUUGACUUUGGGAUAACUUCAGGAAACUGGGGCUAAUACCGGAUAGGAGCUCCUGCUGCAUGGUGGGGGUUGGAAAGUUUCGGCGGUUGGGGAUGGACUCGCGGCUUAUCAGCUUGUUGGUGGGGUAGUGGCUUACCAAGGCUUUGACGGGUAGCCGGCCUGAGAGGGUGACCGGCCACAUUGGAACUGAGAUACGGCCCAGAAUCCUACGGGAGGCAGCAGUGGGGAAUAUUGCACAAUGGGCGGAAGCCUGAUGCAGCAACGCCGCGUGCGGGAUGACGGCCUUCGGGUUGUAAACCGCUUUCGCCUGUGACGAAGCGUGAGUGACGGUAAUGGGUAAAGAAGCACCGGCUAACUACGUG
rnacentral:rRNA from 1 species